GAGUAAUGUCUGGGAAACUGCCUGAUGGAGGGGGAUAACUACUGGAAACGGUGGCUAAUACCGCAUAACGUCGCAAGACCAAAGAGGGGGACCUUCGGGCCUCUUGCCAUCAGAUGUGCCCAGAUGGGAUUAGCUUGUUGGUGAGGUAACGGCUCACCAAGGCGACGAUCCCUAGCUGGUCUGAGAGGAUGACCAGCCACACUGGAACUGAGACACGGUCCAGACUCCUACGGGAGGCAGCAGUGGGGAAUAUUGCACAAUGGGCGCAAGCCUGAUGCAGCCAUGCCGCGUGUAUGAAGAAGGCCUUCGGGUUGUAAAGUACUUUCAGCGGGGAGGAAGGUGUUGUGGUUAAUAACCGCAGCAAUUGACGUUACCCGCAGAAGAAGCACCGGCUAACUCCGUGCCAGCAGCCGCGGUAAUACGGAGGGUGCAAGCGUUAAUCGGAAUUACUGGGCGUAAAGCGCACGCAGGCGGUCUGUCAAGUCGGAUGUGAAAUCCCCGGGCUCAACCUGGGAACUGCAUUCGAAACUGGCAGGCUUGAGUCUUGUAGAGGGGGGUAGAAUUCCAGGUGUAGCGGUGAAAUGCGUAGAGAUCUGGAGGAAUACCGGUGGCGAAGGCGGCCCCCUGGACAAAGACUGACGCUCAGGUGCGAAAGCGUGGGGAGCAAACAGGAUUAGAUACCCUGGUAGUCCACGCCGUAAACGAUGUCUACUUGGAGGUUGUGCCCUUGAGGCGUGGCUUCCGGAGCUAACGCGUUAAGUAGACCGCCUGGGGAGUACGGCCGCAAGGUUAAAACUCAAAUGAAUUGACGGGGGCCCGCACAAGCGGUGGAGCAUGUGGUUUAAUUCGAUGCAACGCGAAGAACCUUACCUGGUCUUGACAUCCACAGAACUUUCCAGAGAUGGAUUGGUGCCUUCGGGAACUGUGAGACAGGUGCUGCAUGGCUGUCGUCAGCUCGUGUUGUGAAAUGUUGGGUUAAGUCCCGCAACGAGCGCAACCC
rnacentral:rRNA from 2 species